rnacentral:rRNA from 1 species
UACGAAGGGGGCAAGCGUUGUUCGGAAUUACUGGGCGUAAAGGGCGCGUAGGCGGCUUAUCAAGUCAGGCGUGAAAUUCCCGGGCUCAACCUGGGGGCUGCGCUUGAUACUGAUGAGCUUGAAUGCGGGAGAGGAUAGUGGAAUUCCCAGUGUAGAGGUGAAAUUCGUAGAUAUUGGGAAGAACACCGGUGGCGAAGGCGGCUCUCUGGACCGAUACUGACGCUGAGGCGCGAAAGCGUGGGGAGCAAACAGG